rnacentral:tRNA from 1 species
UGUAGCUCAGUGGUAGAGCACUUGCUUGGCAUGUUGUGCAAGACCCUGGGUUCGAUUCCCAGCA